AAGUCGUAACAAGGUUUCCGUAGGUGAACCUGCGGAAGGAUCAUUACAGAGGUUUAUCCUUAUUUUGUGAAUUUUAUAUCUGGUGUGUAUGUUUUUGUUGGUACGAGUGCGGAGCACGAGUUGAUAUCAAUUGUGAAAGCAAUGAGUCGAACCAUUCGUGUCAACGCACUACAUAUGCACCAAACACUUUAUAUCAAUUUCUGUCUGAAUAAAAGAAAUGAAAAAA
rnacentral:misc_RNA from 1 species